GAGCAGAAGAGAAUGUGCAGAGACGCAGGGCCCGGGAGGGAGGCUGACCGGAGCUGCGAGUCCCCACAGGGCCUGGAGGAGGGCUUCUGGCAGAGAAGGCUGAGGCCGGGCACGUGAGAGGUGCUGUGCAGAGUACCUGGAAGGAGUCUUGGGAGACGGCAGCUGGGUCACAGGUGCAAACAGCGCUGGAUUCAGACCAUCAGUCCUGCACGUGGGGAAUUCCUUUCUUUUCAAUUAGGCUUUUGAAGACUAGAUCUCCAGGGAUUUGUACACAAUGGAAAGUCGAUGAGGAGAAAUGGGAAACCCAAGCUUAAACUUCAGAGAGACUGGUCCUCCUGAACUGCUCAGGCUGGCUCACAAGCUCUGAGCUGAAGGAUCCUCCUGCCUCAGCCUCUGGAGUGGCCGGGAGGACCUGUGUCCCCUGCUAGCCCUGCUCUUCGGGUCAGUGUCCAACUUGGAUGGUGUCUGACUUCUAGUCAGCAUGUAAACAGCAAAGCCUGGCGCCAUUCUGAGUAAACAUCUGAAUUUCCUAGAGCCCAGUGUCGUGGCGGUAGUGAAAUGAUGCUGGUGGUGCUAGCUGGGUUGAACUGUGCCUGGGUCCCCUCUGCCUCUUAUUCUUGCUUCUGAACAGCAGCUCUAGCA